UUGAAACAUUGUGAAGGAGGUUGAGCUGGCUAAAAUAAAACCUUAGCAUGUGCUUGCCUUCUUUCAAUCUUCAUCCACCUGUGCACUUUCUGUAGGGAUAUUAGAAGUCUGGAAUAGGUGUAAAAGCCUUAGUACGGGUUUUCUAUUCUCUAUGUCUUUUUACACACUUGAUGUAUGUUUAUGAAUGUCUACUAGGGACUUGAUUGACCCUAUAAAAGUUUUAUA
rnacentral:misc_RNA from 1 species